rnacentral:rRNA from 1 species
AAUGUAGAAGUUCCGGUUGUCGCUGGCCCUUUCGGGGGUAUGUGCACGCCUUCUCUUUCAUCCACACACACCUGUGCACUUGUGAGACGGAGGGCUUUAAUUAGUCUUCCGUCUAUUCAACCACACAAACUCAUUGUAUUUAAACUGAAUGUAAUUGAUGUAACGCAUCAUUAGAACUAAGUUUCAACAACGGAUCUCUUGGCUCUCGCAUCGAUGAAGAACGCAGCGAAAUGCGAUAAGUAAUGUGAAUUGCAGAAUUCAGUGAAUCAUCGAAUCUUUGAACGCACCUUGCGCUCCUUGGUAUUCCUUGGAGCAUGCCUGUUUGAGUAUCAUGAAAUUCUCAAAGUAAAUCUUUUGUUAAUUCAACUGUUUUUGCUUUGGACUUGGAGGUCUUUUGCAGAUUUCACGUCUGCUCCUCUUAAAUGCAUUACCGGGCUCUAAUUUUAUGCUGGGUUCCACUCGGCGUGAUAAGUAUCACUCGCUGAGGACACUGUAAAAGGUGGCCAGGAAAUACAAUGACCCGCUUUUAAUAGUCUAUUAAGUUAAACAAUUAAUUUUAAGAUCUGAUCUCAAAUCAGGUAGGACUACCCGCUGAACUUAA